CACGGGGGGAGCAGGCGUUGUUCGGAAUCACUGGGCGUAAAGGGCGUGUAGGCGGUCAAGUAAGUGGGAUGUGAAAUGCUCCGGCUCACCCGGAGUACUGCAUCCCAAACUGCUUGGCUUGAGUAUGGGAGAGGAUGAGGGAAUUCCUGGUGUAGCGGUGAAAUGCGUAGAUAUCAGGAGGAACACCGGUGGCGAAGGCGCUCAUCUGGCCCAAUACUGACGCUGAGGCGCGAAAGCUAGGGGAGCAAACGGG
rnacentral:rRNA from 1 species